UACGUAGGGCGCAAGCGUUGUCCGGAAUUAUUGGGCGUAAAGAGCUCGUAGGCGGUUUGUCGCGUCUGCUGUGAAAACCUAAGGCUCAACCUUGGGCUUGCAGUGGGUACGGGCAGACUAGAGUGCGGUAGGGGUGACUGGAAUUCCUGGUGUAGCGGUGGAAUGCGCAGAUAUCAGGAGGAACACCGAGUGGCGAAGGCAGGUCACUGGGCCGCAACUGACGCUGGAGGAGCGGAAAAGCAUGGGGAGCGAACAGG
rnacentral:rRNA from 1 species